rnacentral:rRNA from 1 species
UACGUAGGGGCCUAGCGUUGUCCGGAUUUAUUGGGCGUAAAGGGCGCGUAGGCGGUCUUGUAAGUCAGCUGUGAAAGCCCGGGGCUCAACCCCGGAGGGUCGGCUGAUACUGCAGGACUGGAGUACGGAAGAGGUAGCUGGAAUUCCCGGUGUAGCGGUGAAAUGCGUAGAUAUCGGGGAGGAACACCUGAGGCGAAGGCGGGCUGCUGGGCCGAUACUGACGCUGAGGCGCGAAAGCCAGGGGAGCAAACGGG